rnacentral:rRNA from 1 species
CAGCCGCCGCGGUAAAACGGAGGGUGCAAGCGUUAAUCGGAAUUACUGGGCGUAAAGCGCACGCAGGCGGUUUGUUAAGUCAGAUGUGAAAUCCCCGGGCUCAACCUGGGAACUGCAUUUGAAACUGGCAAGCUAGAGUCUCGUAGAGGGGGGUGGAAUUCCAGGUGUAGCGGUGAAAUGCGUAGAGAUCUGGAGGAAUACCGGUGGCGAAGGCGGCCCCCUGGACAAAGACUGACGCUCAGGUGCGAAAGCGUGUGGAGCAAACAGGAUUAGAUUCCCCAGUAGUCCCUGUCUCUUAUAC